AUGUCACUAUAUCUUUUAGUGACGGCUGUUAGGAGUGCGAGUAUAAACUUUAACCUAUACCUUCGGAUUUUGUCUAUCACUAAAGGGCUAGAAAUGAAUUGAAUCAAGUCUAUCCAGAGUUCCGCUGUAUAAGGAUUUAUUUGCCUCGAAACUCAACUCGAGUUCAAAACGAGUUAUGUUUCUAGCUCAAAUUUGGUUCGACUGAAGUUCGCGAAUUGUUCAAUCCGAAUCAUCAACUUGAAUUUGUUUUGUUUCAUCAAGAGGUCGUAGACUGUUAAGUUCAACUCAUUAACUAGAUUGAUUAAGUUUUCAACUUGAAUGAUCAUUAUUUAUUUAAUGUGAGAAAUUAAAGAUUUUCUACAACUAUAUAUAUAUAUAUAUAUAUAUAGUUGAGUCAGCUCCUUAACCUAACUAUUCGAAUUGUACUUAGUUUAAGUUUGACUCAUUAAGUUAACAACCUUAUUUUCAGCUCAAGUUUUCAUGAACCAAGUGUAACGAGCUAAAUAAUAAAUUGAGUUU